rnacentral:rRNA from 1 species
GACGAACGCUGGCGGCGUGCCUAAUACAUGCCAGUCGAACGCAUUUUCUUUCACCGUAGCUUGCUACACCGAAAGAAAAUGAGUGGCGAACGGGUGAGUAACACGUGGGUAACCUGCCCAUCAGCGGGGGAUAACACUUGGAAACAGGUGCUAAUACCGCAUAAUUCCAUUUACCGCAUGGUAGAUGGGUGAAAGGCGCUUUUGCGUCACUGAUGGAUGGACCCGCGGUGCAUUAGCUAGUUGGUGGGGUAACGGCCUACCAAGGCUGCGAUGCAUAGCCGACCUGAGAGGGUGAUCGGCCACACUGGGACUGAGACACGGCCCAGACUCCUACGGGAGGCAGCAGUAGGGAAUCUUCGGCAAUGGACGCAAGUCUGACCGAGCAACGCCGCGUGAGUGAAGAAGGUUUUCGGAUUGUAAAACUCUGUUGUUAGAGAAGAACAAGGAUGAGAGUGGAAAGUUCAUCCCUUGACGGUAUCUAACCAGAAAGCCACGGCUAACUACGUG